UACGUAGGAGACGAGCGUUGUCCGGAAUUACUGGGCGUAAAGCGCGUGUAGGCGGGUGCGCAAGUCUGCUGUGAAAGCUCCUGGCUUAACCGGGAGUGGUCGGUGGAAACUGCGGGCCGGAGGACGGUAGAGGUAGGUAGAAUUCCCGGUGUAGUGGUGAAAUGCGUAGAGAUCGGGAGGAAUACCUGUGGCGAAGGCGGCCUACUGGGCCGGACCUGACGCUGAGACGCGAAGGCGUGGGGAGCGAACGG
rnacentral:rRNA from 1 species